ncrna:unclassified sequences L31-Actinobacteria ribosomal protein leader
CCGGCUCCGGUUCACGUCCAGCUCGCUGAAAGGACGACCCGGCGGCC